rnacentral:other from 1 species
AGAGUCCUGAAGUGUUAGUCGAAAGUCGAUAUGUUUUGACCGAACAUUUUUUGAUCGGGAGUCCGGAGUUUUCACACGGAGCGCAUGCCCGCGCAAGGGACCAGCAAACUGUGAGACAGGGCACCCACCUGCGCAAGAGCGGGUUUCAAAGCUUCGGCUGAGCAACGGCACGUUUGGGACCUCU